rnacentral:rRNA from 1 species
UACGUGGGGGGCAAGCGUUGUUCGGAAUUACUGGGCGUAAAGGGCUCGUAGGCGGCUAACUAAGUCAGACGUGAAAUCCCUCGGCUUAACCGGGGAACUGCGUCUGAUACUGGAUGGCUUGAGUUCGGGAGAGGGAUGCGGAAUUCCAGGUGUAGCGGUGAAAUGCGUAGAUAUCUGGAGGAACACCGGUGGCGAAGGCGGCAUCCUGGACCGACACUGACGCUGAGGAGCGAAAGCCAGGAGAGCAAACGGG